UUUGGAAAUGGCCAAACCCCACAACUCAACCUUGCUGGUCAUUGUGACCCUAACAACAAUGGUUGCACAGGGUUGAGCAGUGAUAUCAAUACUUGCCAAGACCUUGGCAUCAAAGUGUUGCUCUCUCUUGGAGGUGGUGCUGGAAGCUACUCCCUCAGCUCAGCUGAUGAUGCCACACAACUUGCAAACUACCUCUGGGAGAAUUUCCUUGGAGGCCAAACUGGUAAGAAUAAUGAUAUACAAACAUUUAGAUAUAUUAAGAGAAAAAUAUUAAAAAUAUACUUACUAACACACUCUUCUCAAAAAAAUGUUGAUAAGUAUUUUAAGGAUACUAAUUAAAGAAUCAAAAGUGGAAAUACUUUUGUUGGAGUGCACUCUUUUAUAAUUUCAAAUACGGCUUCAAUAGAAUAAUCAUAAAAGUUUUCUAUUAAUUUCUUAUUCGAUUUGAUAAAGGUUUAGCAAAACAAAAAAUCAAUUUAAUAAGAAUAUUGAUUAACAAG
rnacentral:lncRNA from 1 species